GGACCUGUAAAUCUCUGUGAAUUCUGCUUAUGCAGUCAGAACAUAAGGAGGUAACGGCUAGUAGCCGCCACUAUGUUGAUAGAUUAUUUGACCUCGAUCCUCAGAAAGUCCUGCAAGGUGUCAUAGAUAUGAAAAAUGCUGUAAUUGGAAACAACAAACAAAAAGCCAACUUGAUUGUUUUGGGAGCAGUUCCAAGGUUGCUGUAUUUACUUCAGCAAGAAACCUCCAGCGCAGAACUGAGAACAGAAUGCGCAGUGGUCCUCGGAAGCCUUGCAAUGGGUACAGAGAAUAAUGUCAAAUCCCUACUAGACUGCCAUAUUAUCCCAGCCUUAUUGCAAGGAUUACUGUCGCCAGAUUUGAAGUUUAUUGAAGCUUGCCUGCGGUGUCUCCGUACCAUUUUCAUCAGUCCUGUAACUCCAGAGGAUCUACUAUAUACAGAUGCUACAGUUAUCUCCCACCUCAUGGCACUGCUCAGUAGGUCUCGAUAUACACAAGAAUACAUAUGUCAGAUCUUCUCACAUUGCUGCAAACUUCAACACUGGCAUAGCUGCGGCUUUAAAUCAUUGCCUCAGCCACUUCUGUGUGCCAAUGGUCCAGAUCACCAGACAAUCUUAUUCAACCAUGGAGCUGUUCAGAAUAUCGCACAUCUGUUAGUCUCCACCUCCUACAAAGUUCGAAUGCAAGCAUUGAAAUGCUUCUCAGUUCUAGCCUUUGAAAACCCCCAGGUAUCAGUGACUCUUGUAAAUGUGUCGGUUGAUGGAGAAUUGUUACCGCAAAUUUUUGUGAAGAUGUUACAAAGGGACAAGCCUAUUGAAAUGCAGCUCACAUCAGCCAAAUGCCUUACUUCCAUGUGCAGAGCUGGAGCAAUACGGACAGAUGAUUCUUGCAUCGUUCUUAAGACUCUGCCAUGUUUGGUUCGAAUGUGUAGUAAGGAAAGACUGCUGGAGGAGCGAGUGGAAGGAGCAGAAACACUGGCCUAUUUGAUUGAAACAGAUGUGGAGCUCCAGAGAAUUGCCAGCAUUACCGACCACCUCAUUGUCAUGCUUGCUGACUACUUCAAGUAUCCCAGCUCAGUGAGUGCAAUCACUGAUAUCAAGAGGCUUGACCAUGAUUUGAAGCAUGCCCAUGAACUGCGCCAGGCUGCUUUCAAGCUCUAUGCUUCCCUGGGAGCAAAUGAUGAAGAUAUUCGAAAAAAGAUCAUUGAGACCGAAAAUAUGAUGGACCGUAUUGUUAAUGGCUUGUCUGAAUCUAGUAUCAAGGUGCGAUUAGCUGCAGUCAGAUGUUUGCACAGUUUGUCCCGUUCUGUACAGCAGCUCAGGACAAGUUUUCAGGAUCAUGCUGUAUGGAAACCUUUAAUGAAGGUUUUACAGAAUGCUCCAAAUGAAAUUCUUGUAGUAGCAUCUUCCACGCUAUGCAAUCUUCUUCUGGAAUUCUCUCCAAGCAAGGAGCCUAUUUUAGAAUCGGGAGCCAUAGAACUUCUAUGUAGUUUAACACAGAGUGAAAAUCUUGCCUUGCGAGUGAACGGCAUUUGGGCUUUAAUGAAUAUGGCAUUUCAAGCAGAACAGAAGAUCAAAUCAGACAUUUUACGAGGUCUGAGUACAGAGCAGUUAUUCCAGUUGCUUUCUGAUUCUGAUGUAAAUGUUCUCAUGAAAACUUUGGGACUGCUCAGGAAUCUUCUAUCUACUCGCCCACACAUAGACCAUAUAAUGAGCACUCAUGGGAAGCAAAUCAUGCAAGCAGUGACCCUUAUUCUGGAAGGGGAGCACAAUAUAGAAGUCAAAGAACAGACAUUAUGUAUACUUGCCAAUAUAGCAGAUGGAACAACAGCAAAAGAACUGAUUAUGACCAAUGAUGAUAUCCUGCAGAAAAUCAAAUACUACAUGAGUCAUUCAAAUGCUAAACUUCAGCUUGCUGCCAUGUUCUGUAUAUCUAAUCUUAUAUGGAAUGAAGAAGAAGGUUCACAAGAACGCCAAGAUAAACUACGAGACAUGGGAAUAGUAGAUAUUCUACAUAAAUUGAGUCAGUCAUCGGAUCCAAAUCUGUGUGACAAGGCGAAGACAGCACUCCAGCAGUAUCUUGCAUGAUCAAAGACUAAUUGAAUCUAUGGACACCCCUCACGUCUACUUAAGGAAUAGCAGGAGAUAUUCCUGACUCCUUAUAUUUGCACAAGUCACCUUGGGCUGCAUUUUUCUCAGGUGCAGGGAGCUGCUUUGCAGAAACAGUUUAAAUGAUCAGGUCUCCAGUGCACUUGAGAAUUUUCUUGAGCUCAGUGAUGUUGCUACGGAUUUUGUGUAUAUAUGCAGAUAUACACACUUGCAUGGAUUUGGAUACCUGGAUAAUAAGCAAUGGGAUUUUACUGUGUUCAGAAGCCUAGAUUGUCCAUAAGUUCCUGAAAUUGUGCCUGUAAGUGUGGAGAAAAAAAUAUGAGUACAAAUGAAGACAGCUGCGUAAGGUUAGGCUGGAAUAGGAGACCCCGGUGGCUUCACAUUCAAAUAUGCAUAGAAACAAAUGAGGGCAGCAAGGAGCUCUCCUUCGUGCAGUUCAGGGUUCUUGCUUUCUUCCCGUCUACUUUCUGAUUUCAGUUUAGACCAUAGUUUUAAUAGUCAGAAUCUCCAAACACUAUAUUUACAAAGCACUAACAGGCAUGCUAAAGAUUGCAGCCGGUGUCUUAAACCAAAUCUUUCUUUUGUUACGUUCAACUUCAGGAGGGCUGCAGCAAGAAGAGAGGUCUGUAACUUUGCUAACCAAUUUUGAUAAGUAUCUUAAUCUUUUAUUUCUAAUCAGAAGGUCAAAUUGUGAUAGCCUUACUUUUUUCCAAAGUAACUACUUGUGUCAGAAAAUGUGACCACAGUUUGGCCUGGAAUUUGAAUGUGCUGUGUAUCAGAUAACUGUUAUCACUUGGUUGCAAAGGAGAAUAUAUACAUUUCAUGUAACUUCUUCCACUCUUGAAAGACAAAUAAAAGUGAGCACCUGACACUUUUUCCCCAGGCAUUGCAGUAAGUGACUGGCAGUUUUUUAAUGUCCUUCUGCAAAUUUUUGAUGAUGGACUUUGGGGGCUGAAUAAAAGGGAAAGUAAAAAUAUGUGAGAACUUGAUAAAUAUCAGUACCUCGGAAGUGAAGUCUUCUUUAUAAAAUUCAAUCAAAUAUAUUUUUGCUUGAACUGAGAAAAAAGUUCUGAGGCAAGUAGUGUAAACGCAAAACUGUACCGCAUGCAUCAGACUUGUAAAUUUGCACUCCUGCUGUGUACGUUUAGGAGCUCAAGUUCUUACAUAUCUCUUCUCAUCCUCCCCCAAUUCACGUUUCUAAAAGCAAAUCUGAGUUUGAUUCUAUAAAACUUCGGUGCCUAAAGGUGUUCAGAAAAAAGGUGAGUAAGUAUCUGUGAACAAGUUUUGAGGUGGUUUCCUAAAAUUCUACCAGAAAACCUAAAAAACAAUGCUCAGACAAUCUUGUUGCUGCAUGAGAACAGUUGACAUUUUUCGCAGAUAUUGAUAGGACAAACUGUUGGAUGAGAACAUUUUUACAUUCAGUUAAGCUUUGUGAAUAAUUUUUGAUGUUGCUAUAGGUAUGUACAAAAAGAAGAAUACUGUAAAUAAAAAUAAUUUUACCAGAA